rnacentral:rRNA from 1 species
UAAGCGGAGGAGAAGAAACUAACCAGGAUUUCCCUAGUAACGGCGAGCGAACCGGAAAGAGCCCAGCUUGAGAAUCGGGGCGCCGCGCGCCCCGAGUUGUAGUCUGGAGAUCCGUCCUCUGCAGCGGACCGGACCCAAGUUCCCUGGAAAGGGACGUCGGAGAGGGUGACAGCCCCGUCGAGUCCGGACCCUGCUGCUCCACGAGGCGGAGUCGGCGAGUCGAGCUGUUUGGGAAUGCAGCUCUAAGUGGGUGGUAAAUUCCAUCCAAGGCUAAAUAUGGGCAGGAGACCGAUAGCGAACAAGUACCGCGAGGGAAAGAUGAAAAGGACUUUGAAAAGAGAGUUAAACAGUGCUUGAAAUUGCUGGGAGGGAAGCGAAUGGAAGCUGCGGGUGCGCCCCGGUUGGAUGUGGAACGGCCCUUCGUCGGGCUGGUCCGCCGCUCAACGCGGGGCGCUGGUCAGCGUGGGCCACCGCGGCGGGACAAGAGCGGGAUGCAGUUUCCCGCCGAUGCCGCGGCGGUGGCCGAGGAACGAAGCGCGCGGGGCUGGCGACAGCCCCGUGGUGCACAAACACCAACUGCGCGCUCGGGACGCUGGCGUAUUGAGCUCUCCAUCCGACCCGUCUUGAAACACGGACCAAGGAGUCUAACAUGUAUGCGAGCCGGUGGGCGGCAAACCCAUUGAGGCGUAAGGAAACUGACAGGUGGGACCCCGACCCCCCAAAGGGGAAGGGAGCACCAUCGACCGACCGUGAUCUUCUGUGAAAGGUUUGAGUGGGAGCAUACCUGUUGGGACCCGAAAGAUGGUGAACUAUGCCUGAGCAGGGCGAAGCCAGAGGAAACUCUGGUGGAGGCUCGUAGCGAUACUGACGUGCAAAUCGUUCGUCAGACUUGGGUAUAGGGGCGAAAGACUAAUCGAACCAUCUAGUAGCUGGUUCCCUCCGAAGUUUCCCUCAGGAUAGCUGGAGCUCGCGCACGAGUUUUAUCAGGUAAAGCGAAUGAUUAGAGGCAUCGGGGGUGUAACACCCUCGACCUAUUCUCAAACUUUAAAUGGGUAAGCCGCCGGGGUUGCUUGGUUGAACCCCGGCACAGAAUGAGAGCUCCAAGUGGGCCAU